CCUACGGGGGGCAGCAGUGAGGAAUAUUGGUCGAUGGGCGGGAGCCUGAACCAGCCAAGUCGCGUGAGGGAUGACGGCCCUAUGGGUUGUAAACCUCUUUUGCCGGGGAGCAAAGUGCCGCACGUGAGCGGGUUGGAGAGUAACCGGAGGAAAAGCAUUGGCCAACCCCGGGCCAGCAGCCGCGGUAAUACGGAGGAUGCGAGCGUUAUCCGGAUUUAUUGGGUUUAAAGGGUGCGUAGGCGGAAGCCUAAGUCAGAGGUAAAAUGGCGGGGCUCAACCUCGUCGAGCCGUUGAAACUGGGUGCCUUGAGUGGGCGAGAAGUACGCGGAAUGCGUGGUGUAGCGGUGAAAUGCAUAGAUAUCACGCAGAACUCCGAUUGCGAAGGCAGCGUACCGGCGCCCAACUGACGCUGAAGCACGAAGGCGUGGGUAUCGAACAGGAUUAGAUACCCUUGUAGUC
rnacentral:rRNA from 1 species